rnacentral:rRNA from 1 species
GAUGAACGCUGGCGGCGUGCCUAAUACAUGCAAGUCGAGCGAAUGGAUUAAGAGCUUGCUCUUAUGAAGUUAGCGGCGGACGGGUGAGUAACACGUGGGUAACCUGCCCAUAAGACUGGGAUAACUCCGGGAAACCGGGGCUAAUACCGGAUAACAUUUUGAACCGCAUGGUUCGAAAUUGAAAGGCGGCUUCGGCUGUCACUUAUGGAUGGACCCGCGUCGCAUUAGCUAGUUGGUGAGGUAACGGCUCACCAAGGCAACGAUGCGUAGCCGACCGGAGAGGGUGAGCGGCCACACUGGGACUGAGACACGGCCCAGACUCCUACGGGAGGCAGCAGUAGGGAAUCUUCCGCAAUGGACGAAAGUCUGACGGACCAACGCCGCGUGAGUGAUGAAGGCUUUCGGGUCGUAAAACUCUGUUGUUAGGGAAGAACAAGUGCUAGGUGAAUAAGCUGGCACCUUGACGGUACCUAACCAGAAAGCCACGGCUAACUACGUGCCAGCCGCCGCAGUAA